CUCAGUUGGCCGAGUGGAUAAUGUGAUGGCGUUUGAAGCGAAAGGUAAUGGGUUCGAGUCCCACAGUGAUUA
rnacentral:tRNA from 1 species